UAAAUACUUAUUAUUAAUUAUUUAUAUAAAAUUUAUUAUUAAUAUAAGAAAUCUUAUAAUAUAAUCUUUAAGUAUAGUAAUAGAAAAAUUUAAAUAUUAAAAAGUAAGCAUAU
rnacentral:rRNA from 1 species